rnacentral:rRNA from 1 species
CGCGAAAACCUUUACAAUGCACGAAAAGUAGUGAUAAAGGGCAACUCCUUGUGCUUAUCCAAAAGAUAGGCUUUUUAGUAUGUAAUGUAUACUAAGAAUAAAGUGAGUGGGCCAAGACCGGUGCCAGCAGCCGCGGUAAUACCGGCGUCACAAGUGGAGAUCACGAUUACUGGGUCUAAAGUGUUCGUAGCUGGUCAUAUAAGU